AGAAGGGCUGGAGCCAGGAUCCACCCCUGCCCAGACCUCACUUAAGGGUUGGCAGUGGGAGCAAGGGCUCUUGCUGGAGAUCCCUGUGCACUGAGGCCUUCUGAAGGUUUGCUGGUAAUCUGUGUUUGAAUCAUGAAAUGCACUUUUUAAUGGACACGACAUUCUGCUAACUGGAACAGUAACCGUUUAUAAAACGAAGUUUGAGGCUUGUAGACCUGGCUGGGAAAGGAUCUAAAUGGGGAGCACGUGGAGAGCUGUCCUGGAUGAGGCCAAGCACAGCAGGUUGUUGUGAUGAGGACACCAAUGGGAAAUCAAUGAAAGAGGAAGAGCUGGUGUAUGGAAAGUGCCUGUGCCCAUGUUAGAAAGCAAUAUGUGUAAGGACAAAAGGGAAAUCACACAUGUGUAUGAAUACAAACUACUCAUCAUGGUAAGUCAGGAAUAGAGCCAUGAAGAACCAUGGAGUGGUGCUGCCACCAGGAAUCAGGGCAGGUCCCUUCCAGGUCUGAUCACACUGAGUGCUGGUCCAGCACUGGCCCCAAAAUCUUCUGUGUUAGCAGUCAGAUGGAAAUAUCUUCCAGAAUAAAGGCAGCAGUGUGUGGGGGUUCAGCUUGCAGGCAAGCCCAGACUGCAGUGCUGGAGCCAUGCGUGUGGCUCCUGGAACAUCGGCUCAGCUCCUCCAGCAGGUCUGCUGCAAACACAUGGGGACAGCUAUUGUGUGUACAGUCUGUGGCUGCUUAUUUUAUUUGUCGGGCAGAGGGAUAAUUGACAGGUGGCUGUCUGGAAGAGAUGAAGCCCUCCAGCAAAACUCUGCAGCUCCAGCAAGAUGCGAGCGACAGAGAAAUGGCUCCAGAGGUGAUAGACUUGUUACUUUUAACACCGCCAGAGAUGGAAGGGAGCAGGGUUGAAUCGCAGUUCAGAACAAUCAUACCUAACUGCUGAACUAAAUAAAAGCGAUGAUUUCAUACCGGUGUCUGCGGCUGCCUCAGACUGAGCUGGGAUUAACGAGUGUGCUGUUGCCUUCGGAAGGGAAGUGCACGCCUGAGGACUUUGGGUUCCUUUUUUAAGGGGAGCAUCACCCAGGAGGAGGGCAGAGAUAGGGAAUGGGUUGCACCCAAAGCAAUGCUGAUGUUUAUCCUCCAGCUAACAAACGUUGCUGAGAAAAGCAGGGGAGAGGACAGUGUCUGUGGUGCCCUGGUACCCCAUGGGCUGGUGCCCAGGCACCCCACCAGCUGCAGGUAUUCAUCUUUCCUUGUUUCUUUUUUUUUU